UCCAAAACAUUUUCAGCAUUCUCUACGCACUGACCCGAACUCCAACAACUUAUGCCUGAAACUUCACAUAUACAUGCACCCUAUAAAAUUUAUUGUAGUUCUUAAGUUUACCACGCUAGAAAUGGAUAAUAAUAGACAGAAGUGCAAAUGAAACAUAUAAGAAACUAACAAGGUCCCAUAUAGGAAUCACAUAACAUAGAGAAGAAGAGGCAGCAACCUGACAGUAAACUCCUUCUGUAAUUCACUCUUUUAUCAAGAGCAUUUAGGAGAAGAGUCGCCAACUGAAAAUGUCCAAUAGGAAUCACAUAGAUUAACUUCUCAACAAUGUGAGAAUGUAACUCUCUGUAUAUGGCCCUUCCAGCAUCAAGAAAAAUCCAACUCAGUGUAUUCAAAGGUAACCUAUUUCAAACUAAAAUAUUAUGAAAAGUCAGGCAGGCAUUCCACAUAUUACGUCUUUAUCCAUAGUAACAGGGACGGUCUAGAACUAGAGAGUUUGUAUUAAAAUUGGAAGAUGACAAAACUGCCUUCAAAGAGCCAGAUCCUAUCCAUCAAAAAAAUAAUCCACUCCCAUGGGAGAGCUUCAAUUCUAGCCGGCAUGUAUCCACUACAUGUAUUAUUAUGCUUUACCAUUUCUUAGCUAAUACUUGCACAGUUGCACAUAUUUUUGAAAUGCUUUCUGUUUUGAAAAGAUGAUUAUAUUAAGUUUCCUAACAAUAACCCUUGAUUCCAUACACAUGGUAAUUCACUCAACUGUAACUAUGGGCUGCCGCUCAUAAAAAGUUAACACUAAAUCAAAUCCACAACCAACUUGUGGAGACCUUUGAAACACCCCAUAAGAUACUUCAACUUCAAUUUGUUAAACAAGCUAGUCCCAAUACGAAUCUCUUUGUGGUGACUGCAAGGGUCAACCCCUUACUGGGACAAAAUUCAUGAGUUUUCACUAGACCCAGGUGUAAGAUGAAAUAGCAAUUAAAUAGUACAAACACACUGUAUAGCUCUAAAAGUUAAACAUAUUCCCUCAUCAAUGACAACAGCUAACCACAUUCCAGGAAAACCUAUAAAGGACAUAGUCAGAAACUUUAUCUGCAAUCCAUCAAAAACCAAGUCCUCACCCAUGACAUAAGUUCUGACUUGACCAAUAUACUCAGUAAAUUAAUAAUCUAAACUAACAUUAAAGAACAGGAAUUUAUGACAACAUACAAGUCAAUUCAUAUAUAAAUUAAUUCAAUCGAAUACAACACCUUUUUUUUUCCUUUUGUAUCGAUCUCUCCACUUAAAGGGGAAAGGAAAGAAAAACAUAAAGACAACGGUCAUUACUUCCAAAACUUUUUGACCAACCUCAAUUAGGAAAUCAGUCAUCUAAACUAACAUAUGAAGACUCGCAUUUCUGACAUAGCUUUACAAGCCUAAUCAUAUUAAAAACUUCUACCCUGAGCACACACAAUCGAACUGUAGACAAUCAAAAGUGAAUCCAACCCAUGAAAUAAUUUGAUCUAAAUUCAACAGAAUACAAAACCUGAUCUUUUUCCUUUUGCAUCAGUCCCUCAAAAAUCAAGUCCUUAAAAGACACAGUCUGUCAUCCACUACGGCAAUACUUCAAAAGUUCAAAUUCAAACUUAAUCAGUAAACUAAACUAGCAUAUAUAAGGAAUCAAGUUUGCAGCAUAUCUUUAACAUAAAAAGAAUUCAACAAAUACUAUUUUGUUUUAUUUUUGGAUUUCUAAAUUCUCAAAAAGAAAAGGCCUGAUUUUUGAGGUAAUAUGUGGUAGAACAUUCUUGAACCAUGAACCCAGCUCCAAAAAAUAGCUUCAGAGUCUAAUUAACUAAGCAUUCAACAAACCCAGGGGUUUUUUUUCUUUUUUACAGGGGAAAAAACAUAAUGGAAUAACAAAGAAGAAGACUUAAUGACAAAACAAACCUAUAGAAAGUUCAUCAAAGUGAAACCCACUCAAGUAAACAUGGAAAUGCAUUAAAAAAACAAGAAGGAAGAAGGAAUCAAAAGCAGAAAGAAGAUUAAUACCAAUAAUAGAUUCUCAUAACUUCAAUGAUGCAUACAGAUAGAUAUACCAACCCAGAAACUCAUUCGUUUCGAUGUAAAUAUAGAGGGUAUAUUUACCUUUCCGUGUUUUGCAUAAUUAGAACAUGAAGAGGCUAAAAUGCCAGAUCCAUCAAUCAUAUAAAAAGGAUAGAGAUAGAGGGGGACAUUGUAAUAUUUGGUGAGAAUAG
rnacentral:lncRNA from 1 species